UACGUAGGGUGCAAGCGUUAAUCGGAAUUACUGGGCGUAAAGAGUGCGCAGGCGGUUGGGUAAGCUAGAUGUGAAAUCCCCGAGCUCAACUUGGGAACUGCAUUUAGAACUGCUCGGCUAGAGUAUGUCAGAGGGGGGUAGAAUUCCACGUGUAGCAGUGAAAUGCGUAGAGAUGUGGAGGAAUACCGAUGGCGAAGGCAGCCCCCUGGGACUGUACUGACGCUCAUGCACGAAAGCGUGGGGAGCAAACAGG
rnacentral:rRNA from 1 species